GAUGAAGAACGUAGCGAAAUGCGAUACGUAAUGUGAAUUGCAGAAUUCAGUGAAUCAUCGAAUCUUUGAACGCAUAUUGCGCUCUUUGGUAUUCCGAAGAGCAUGCUUGUUUGAGUAUCAGUAAACACCUCAACCUCUUCUUGAUUUUUCAAAAGGAGGGUGGACUUGAGCUAUCCCAACAACCUUUACCGGUCGGCGGGCGGCUUGAAAUGCAGGUGCAGCUGGACUUUUAUCUGAGCUAAAAGCAUAUCUAUUUAGUCCUCGUCAAACAGGAUUAUUACUUUUGCUGCAGCUAACAUAAAGGAUAAUUAUCCUCUUUGCUGACUGAUGCAGGAUUUUACGACACUUUAUGUGUUGUUCAACUCGAUCUCAAAUCAAGUAAGACUACCCGCUGAACUUAAGCAUAUCAAUAAGCGGAGGA
rnacentral:misc_RNA from 1 species